rnacentral:ribozyme from 1 species
AUUUUUACUCUUUCUUCAUUUUCUUUAUUUUCUUUCCCUUUCUUUCCCUUUCUUUUGUUUUCUUUUAUUUUCUUUUCGGGAAGGGAAGUUCAGCAUCAAGGAGAAACAGAACGAGAAAACAAAAACAA